CCCUUAGAUGUCCUGGGCCGCACGCGCGCUACACUGAUGCAUUCAACGAGUCUACCUUGGCCGAGAGGCCUGGGCAACCUUUUAUACGUGCAUCGUGAUAGGGAUAGAUUAUUGCAAUUAUUAAUCUUGAACGAGGAAUUCCUAGUAAACGCAAAUCAUCAAUUUGCAUUGAUUACGUCCCUGCACUUUGUACACACCGCCCGUCGCACCUACCGAUUGAAUGGUCCGGUGAGGACUCGGGAUUUUUACCAGUUUCCUUCAUUGGGAAUUGGUGAGGAGAACUUGUCCAAACCUUAUCAUUUAGAGGAAGGUGAAGUCGUAACA
rnacentral:rRNA from 1 species